rnacentral:sRNA from 2 species
GGGUCUCAGAGAAGGGCUUGAGCUUCCACCACUUAUUCUUGGUCUCGCAAGGCAGAAGGCUCCAACCAAAGUCGAUCUCGACACAGUGAGCUCUCCGGGCUCACCAGCAACAGCAACUAGACAGAAAUGCCUGGCUAUUAGAAAACCGAUGUCUGCACGAUCCUUGCCAAUCACCAGAACCUAGAUACGUGGUGGAGUCUAUAAGCUUCACCAAGAAAAUCUUCUUGCCUCUACGAGAAGAGAGCUAUUUCCAAUAUCGCCUUGGGCAAACGAAGGUCUGCAUUCAGCAAUCGAGAAUUCCUCGUGUUUUUUUGGCUUUACAAAGCUUCUUAAAGGCCAAAAUAUUUAAUUAGCAAAUUUAGUGACGGCGUUUUUGUGUCUUUUGUUCCUGGCCAGGCACGAAGGUGGAAUGCGCCUUGUUUCAGUUUGACCUUGCACACGGAUGAGGAUCCUCGGAAUGACAUCAUUGCCUACGAUUUAUUUAUGUUUAUGGUCAAUGAAAGAUGAAACAUUGAAUAUUCUUAUUAUCGUGUCAUGAGCAAAUCCGCAAGGUGUCCUGAGAAAUUCUGGUGAUAUUUUUGCUCUUGACCGCUAUAUCAUGGAGAGCAGCUACAGUUGACGUGGAAGGCGAGCGGGGCUUCUGGUAGGCUAGGGGUGAGGGAGCGCCGGAGAGCAGCAACGAAAUAACGGCCACGCCUGCGGCUGCGUCGAAUUUUAGACUAGGGUCAUAUCCCGAAUUGCGGGUUUGCUAGCUAGUGGAAGGGAUCAGAACUUUCGACCAGCAGCCAGCAAGAUCCCGAAGGGAUUUGCAAAUCACUUGGCUAUUGUUUUUGAUCAUGAAAAUCAGUCUGAACAACUCGAAUUUAUGUGCGAGUGGGGUUUUGUAUGUAUAGGACUGGGGCUGGAAAUACCCGUCUUGGUUUCUCACAGAUGAGGUUGAGAUUGGCAGAAGCCAUUCACCAUCAGCGGAGCCGCCCUCGAUUAGUGGUAUGAACGUAUUUUUGUACGCGCCCCACAAUUCGUCUUCAAGACUCCAAACGACAGAACUUCAUGCCGCGUAGCCUUGUUUAGCCGUGAGAGGGAGAAUGGCAGUUGCUAAGUCAUACACUAUUUUCAUUGCACUAUUCCCACUACUUGGAUGUCGACGGUUUUUGACUGGUGCACGGACGAGCAUGCUAAAAUGGCG